rnacentral:lncRNA from 1 species
UCACUGGGCGGGGCUUGUGACAUCACUAGCUGGUAGGAGGUCUAGCAAGUAUCAGGUUACCCUUGGUGGGAGAAGAAGCAUGAUGGGAAGAAGUUUGUCCUUUGCUGGGGGAAGACAUAUUUUAACAUGGAGGCUGCUAUUCCAUGUGGCAGACAUUUUAAAACAAGGGAAAUAUAACUACCCCAGUGGAGGCCAGAAACUGCAGAUACUGCCGGAUUCUACUUAUAUCUACUCCCGGAUGUAUACAACCAUCCCUUACUUCGACCUGGAAUUGCGUUAGAAAAUUCUUCCAACACUACCCUCAAAAAAAG